AGCGAACGCUGGCGGCAGGCCUAACACAUGCAAGUCGAACGGAACCUUCGGGAUUAGUGGCGGACGGGUGAGGAACACGUGGGAACGUGCCCUUUGGUUCGGAACAACUCAGGGAAACUUGAGCUAAUACCGGAUGUGCCCUUCGGGGGAAAGAUUUAUCGCCAUUGGAGCGGCCCGCGUCUGAUUAGCUAGUUGGUGAGGUAACGGCCCACCAAGGCGACGAUCAGUAGCUGGUCUGAGAGGAUGAUCAGCCACACUGGGACUGAGACACGGACCAGACUCCUACGGGAGGCAGCAGUGGGGAAUCUUGCGCAAUGGGCGAAAGCCUGACGCAGCCAUGCCGGGUGAAUGAUGAAGGUCUUAGGAUUGUAAAAUUCUUUCAGCGGGGACGAUAAUGACGGUACCCGCAGAAGAAGCUCCGGCUAACUUCGUG
rnacentral:rRNA from 1 species